rnacentral:rRNA from 1 species
AUGGUGAAGUAGGCUGAUAUCUGCUUCCCUAAGGACCAGAGGGGCCUGGGUAUUCUAGCGUCACAUCACAUGAAUGUGGCCCUCAUGUUGCGAUGGGUGUGGCGGAUUCUUAGGGGGAGGCCUAUGGUUGCACCUUAUCGAGCAGGUCUUUCUGCGGCGUGCUUCUGGCUCAGUGUUUAA